UAUCCUUUGUUGCCAGCGAUUAGGUCGGGAACUCAAAGGAGACUGCCAGUGAUAAACUGGAGGAAGGUGGGGAUGACGUCAAGUCAUCAUGGCCCUUACGACCAGGGCUACACACGUGCUACAAUGGCGCAUACAAAGAGAAGCGACCUCGCGAGAGCAAGCGGACCUCAUAAAGUGCGUCGUAGUCCGGAUUGGAGUCUGCAACUCGACUCCAUGAAGUCGGAAUCGCUAGUAAUCGUGGAUCAGAAUGCCACGGUGAAUACGUUCCCGGGCCUUGUACACACCGCCCGUCACACCAUGGGAGUGGGUUGCAAAAGAAGUAGGUAGCUUAACCUUCGGGAGGGCGCUUACCACUUUGUGAUUCA
rnacentral:rRNA from 1 species